rnacentral:SRP_RNA from 1 species
UUCUUAGACCUGUGCAAUGCUUUUUUUAGGCACCGCUUCAGGGUAGGAAUACAGCAGAGCACUUAGAUCUCGCAUGUGCCGCAGCCAUCUGGGAAGGGG